rnacentral:rRNA from 1 species
GUAAGGAAUAUUGGACAAUGGACGCAUGUCUGAUCCAGCCAUGUCGCGUGAAGGAUGAAUGCCCUCUGGGUUGUAAACUUCUUUUAUAGGGGAAGAAAGAUACUUUUUUUAAGGUAGUUGACGGUACCCUAUGAGUAAGCACCGGCUAACUCCGUGCCAGCAGCCGCGGUAAUACGGAGGAUGCAAGCGUUAUCCGGAUUUACUGGGUUUAAAGGGUGCGUAGGCGGGCAUGUAAGUCAGUGGUGAAAUACCGGAGCUUAACUUCGGAACUGCCAUUGAUACUAUAUGUCUUGAAUAUUGUGGAGGUAAGCGGAAUAUGUCAUGUAGCGGUGAAAUGCAUAGAUAUGACAUAGAACACCGAUUGCGGAGGCAGCUUGCUACGCAAAUAUUGACGCUGAGGCACGAAAGCGUGGGGAUCAAACA